rnacentral:rRNA from 1 species
GGCUCUUUGCUCACAUAAAUAUAAAGAGUCGAGCCUGCCCAGUGAAUUUUUUUUAACGGCCGCGGUACUCUGACCGUGCAAAGGUAGCAUAAUCAUUUGCCUUAUAAUUGAAGGCUAGUAUGAAUGGUUUGACGAGAGCAAUACUGUCUCCUUUUUAUUUUCAAAAACUUAACUUUUAGGUGAAGAGGCCUAAAUUUUAUUGAAGGACAAGAAGACCCUGUCGAGCUUAAAAGACAUUAUAGGAGUCUAAUAUAUUUUUAAAUAAAUUUUCUAUUAGGCUUUUUAGUUGGGGCGACUAGGGAACAAAAAAAGCUUCUUUCUAAUAAAUAAACAAUCAUGUUUAGAUCCGAUAAUAGCGAUCAAAGAAAUUAGUUACCGCAGGGAUAACAGCAUAAUCUCUCUUAAGAGACCUAAUCGAAAGAGGGGGUUGUGACCUCGAUGUUGGACUAGAAUAUCCUAAAGAUGCAGAAGUCUUUAAGGGUCGGUCUGUUCGACCGUUAAAAUUCU